UACGAAGGGUGCAAACGUUGCUCGGAAUUAUUGGGCGUAAGCGCACGUAGGCGGCUUGGCAAGUCGGAUGUGAAAUCCCUCGGCUCAACCAAGGAAGUGCAUCCGAAACUGCCGAGCUUGAGUACUUAAGAGGAUCGCGGAAUUCCCGGUGUAGAGGUGAAAUUCGUAGAUAUCGGGGAGGAACACCAGUGGCGAAGGCGGCGAUCUGGGAAGAUACUGACGCUGAGGUGCGAAAGCGUGGGGAGCAAACAGGG
rnacentral:rRNA from 1 species